GGCCGGUUAGCUCAGUCAGUUAGAGUGUGGUGCUAAUAACACCAAAGCCACAGGUUCGAUCCUGGUUUGGUCC
rnacentral:tRNA from 1 species